rnacentral:lncRNA from 1 species
AAAAUUAUUUUCAAUAAAAUAAAAUGACCAAAAUACCCCUAAAAAAUUCAAGGGGUAUUUUGGUCAUUAUAUGUUAUCAAAAACUUAUUUUUAAUAUGUUUUUUUUAUAGGUGAGCUCCAAUGAGAAGAUGACAAGUACCAAAUUUCAUAUUCAUAUAAUUUGUAUAAAAAAAAACUAAAAAUAAAAUACUUUGAGACGUUGGAGUUAAGAUCAAACGAUGAUUGACUGUCUUGAUCAAAAUUGGACGGUGGGAUGGUAGGGAAAGUAUAUGUCUUCUAUGCUGUAGAAGAAGUAUAGAAACAUUUCUUAUUAGAGAUUACAUAUCCUUAAAAAUUACGUCUAAAAAUCCAUCUCAAAAAUAGAUUUUUAAGAAAGGGACUCAUUUUUACAUGGGCUGUUGUUUUGCCAAAUGAUCGUGACGGGCAUGCUCAUGUAGAAGCAUAGUGUGCAUUAAUUCCCUCGGGCAAAAGAGAUAUUUUGAAAUAUUUUUAUACGAAAAUUUGAGAUCUACAUGAGAAUCAUUAGAUGGUUAUUUUUAAAAGAAAUUAAAUUUGGAGUUCCUCAUCACUCUUGCUCUCCAAAAGUUUCAAUUCUUCUGUAUUUAAGGUUGGUCUCUAGGCUCAAGAGGUCAUGUCCCCGAAAUUCAAGGUCUUAAAAAUACUCAUAAUAUGAGUUCUACCUGAGACCAAAUGGACAAUAAGCUCCUCCAGGACCAGCAUAUCUUUUAUUUCCAUCGGGAGCAAACUGUAUAUUAACUCGCUCGGGCAAAAGCCAUUAAAGUUGGGCAAAUAUAAGAGCGAUUUAAAUUGAAGAUCGAGGAAAAGAGUAAAUUUCGAGGAAUAUGGGGAUUCCAUCCACCAAAAGGUUCCAUUCAUUGUUGUAAGAUUAUGUCUUUUGCCUUAAAAGGUUUUUAUUUGUUAGACUAAAUAUGGGUUGGUUUCUUAACAUGAUUGGGGUUAACAUAUUCUAUGACCUUCCUUUCAUUUUCAUUUUGUAAGUAAAUUGGCAUGGCUUCCAUUUUGUAAGUAAAUUGGCAGCACGCUGUCCCUCUAGAUGGCCG